rnacentral:piRNA from 1 species
CACUAGAAAGGGAGCUCCUGUGGU